rnacentral:rRNA from 1 species
GACGAACGCUGGCGGUGUACUUAACACAUGCCAGUCGAACGGUAAGGCCCUUUCGGGGGUACACGAGUGGCGAACGGGUGAGUAACACGUGAGUAACCUGCCCUCAUCUCUGGGAUAACAGUCGGAAACGGUUGCUAAUACUGGAUAUGAGCCUGCAAGGCAUCUUGUGGGUUGGAAAGAUUUUUUGGUUGGGGAUGGACUCGCGGCCUAUCAGCUUGUUGGUGAGGUAGUGGCUCACCAAGGCUUCGACGGGUAGCCGGCCUGAGAGGGCGACCGGCCACAUUGGGACUGAGAUACGGCCCAAACUCCUACGGGAGGCAGCAGUGGGGAAUAUUGCACAAUGGACGGAAGUCUGAUGCAGCAACGCCGCGUGCGGGAUGACGGCCUUCGGGUUGUAAACCGCUUUCAAUUGUGACGAAGCUUUUUGUGACGGUAGCAGUAGAAGAAGCACCGGCUAACUACGUG